CCUACGGGUGGCAGCAGUGCGGAAUAUUGGUCAAUGGGAGAGAUCCUGAACCAGCCACGCCGCGUGAGGGAAGACGGCCCUAUGGGUUGUAAACCUCUUUUGUCGGGGAACAAAACCCGGGACGUGUCCCGGACUGCGUGUAUCAGAAGUAAAAGCAUCGGCUAACUCCGUGCCAGCAGCCGAGGUAAUACGGUGGAUGCGUGUGUUAUCCGGAUUUGUUGGGUUAAAGGGGUGCGUAGCCGGUCCGUUAAGUCAGCGGGAAAAUUGCGGGGCUCAACCCGGUCGAGCCGUUGAAACUGGCAGACUUGAGUGGGCGAGAAGUACGCGGAAUGCGCGGUGUAGCGGUGAAAUGCAUAGAUAUCGCGCAGAACACCGAUUGCGAAGGCAGCGUACCGGCGCCAGACUGACGCUGAGGCACGAAAGCGUGGGGAUCGAACAGGAUUAGAUACCCGAGUAGUC
rnacentral:rRNA from 1 species